UACGAAGGGGGCUAGCGUUGCUCGGAAUCACUGGGCGUAAAGCGCACGUAGGCGGAUUGCUAAGUCAGAGGUGAAAUCCUGGAGCUCAACUCCAGAACUGCCUUUGAUACUGAAAGUCUUGAGUACGGGAGAGGUGAGUGGAACUGCGAGUGUAGAGGUGAAAUUCGUAGAUAUUCGCAAGAACACCAGUGGCGAAGGCGGCUCACUGGCCCGUAACUGACGCUGAGGCACGAAAGCGUGGGGAGCAAACAGG
rnacentral:rRNA from 1 species